UACGAAGGGGGCUAGCGUUGCUCGGAAUCACUGGGCGUAAGGGCGCGUAGGCGGCUGAUUUAGUCGAGGGUGAAAGCCUGUGGCUCAACCACAGAAUUGCCUUCGAUACUGGUUGGCUUGAGACCGGAAGAGGACAGCGGAACUGCGAGUGUAGAGGUGAAAUUCGUAGAUAUUCGCAAGAACACCAGUGGCGAAGGCGGCUGUCUGGUCCGGUUCUGACGCUGAGGCGCGAAAGCGUGGGGAGCAAACAGG
rnacentral:rRNA from 1 species